GCGUACUUAGCUCAGUGGUUAGAGUGUCCACCUAGUGUUUGGGGGUCGCGGGUUCGAGUCCUGCAGUGUGCA
rnacentral:tRNA from 1 species